rnacentral:rRNA from 1 species
GGGUCAUUAGGUUGGUCGUGCCACCGGUACGUACUGGUCUCACUGAUUCCUCCUUCCUGAAGAACCGUAAUGCCAUUAAUUUGGUGUUGCGGGGAAACAGGACUGUUACUUUGAAAAAAUUAGAGUGUUUAAAGCAAGCUAACGCUUGAAUACAUUAGCAUGGAAUAAUGAAAUAGGACGAUCGAUCCUAUUUUGUUGGUUUCCAGGAUUGACGUA